rnacentral:rRNA from 1 species
UCGUGGAUUGCUCUGUCUGGUUGAUUCCGAUAACGAACGAGACCUUAACCUGCUAAAUAGUCAUGCCUGCCCUUGUUGGCAGGCAGGCGACUUCUUAGAGGGACUUUCGGUGAUUAACCGAAGGAAGUUUGAGGCAAUAACA